ensembl:antisense Gm11767 predicted gene 11767
GGCACCGGCGCGAGCGCGCGUGGAGGCGGCACUCGGGAGGCAGCGAUCCGAGCUGCAGGCCCUCAAGGGUCCCUCAGGAGUGCGCGACAGGGGCCGGUGGCUCCCGCGCUAUUGCAGAGUGCUCCGCAUGCUGCCAUGUCCCCAUCAUGGCUGAAGGCAGAGGCAGCAGCACAGAGGAGCCUGGAGACAGGAAGACUGAAGGUCCCCUGGAGUCCCUCUGGAUCCUGCACAGAAAGAGGACACUAGGAGCUAACGAAAUUCUUUGUGCACAGCCUGAGGAGUUGGCUUUCUGAGCCUUGGAGCUGCUGGUGUGGGACUCUGGUGUUUUUCCUGCCUUCCUGGGCUCCAAGACAUCCUAAGGAGAAAACCCCAUGCUCAGACACUUAGGCAGGACAGUUCCAGGACACUGGGAUUAAGCGGUGGUACCCGGCAGUUUCCUCAGACAGGUCGGGGCACUGCAUCCACUGCUGCUGUUAACCCGGGAGGUCCAGCG